GAUGCCCAACAUCGUGGUGCAGGACUUCAUGAAGAUCUGCGAACGGUACGCGGACGACCUGUGAUGACGUUCGAGCGAGCGGAGGCGUAGCGGAUAGCGCGUUUAAAGCACUCGCGGACGCUUCUUCACGCGGUCCAAGAGAAACAAACACCCUCUCGCGGUCCAAGCAAGAGAAACUUCCACGUACUCGCCCGGGUUCGCCACUUCGUCGCGCGCGAGGUGGCGAUGACGAAGUCCAAGGCGGGUAUCAAGGCUGAGCAGCGUGAGCUCACGCCGUUAAGUUUCAACGUGCGUCGCCAAAACCCCGUUCGCCCCGCCUGCUAGAGCGCGCCUGACCCCCAACGAUCCCAACGCCCCAACUCGCCAGGCUCUUUUCACCGUCAUCUUCCAGAUCCUUGACGAGCGCGGAGAGGGCAAGACCAUGUGACCCUCGGAGGCGCCUCGAAGCGAACGCUUCGAGAAGAUGAUGCGCGGCGUCGCGAACCACCCGUGGAGAGAGUACAUGGACGCCACGAGGGAGGUCGCGAGACGCGCGGCCGCGAUGGACCUCCUCGAGAUCACGCAGAAGGGCAAAGUCGUGGACCCGAGCUCGUUCAAGGGCCCGAUUCGCCUGCGACGGAAACGGUGGGGAGCUCUGUUGGACGAACGCUCGAGGCGCGAGUGCGCGUCGAGGUGGCGACGCGAGCGCGACGGAGAGGAGGGCGCGCGAGGGUGCCAGCGACGCGAGACGCCGAAGGUCGAUUCGGCGCCCGCGUCGAAGAGACGCAAGACGGAGGAGGUAGACGAGUCGACGCCUGAAGAUGCAUGAUUCGUUUCAACCGCAGUGACGACGGCGUCGGGGCAACCGCGCUCACCCGCGAGCGCGUCUCCGCCGUCCGAUACCGGAUCCGCGUCGUCGAUCGCGUCGCGCCGCGUCGACCGCGUCAGCGCCCGAUGGACGCGCGACGACGGUAGCGCACACGAGCCGGCGCGAUGAGCGCUAGUGGAUAGACUAACAACAUGUCUCACACGUGGCACCGCUCGCCCACCAGCCAGCUCUCGCCCCACGAACUCUGCGCGCCAGCCAGAUGCCGCCCGCUCGCAAAUAUUUUAUUCCUCUCCCGAGGGUGCCUCAGGUCCGUCGCGGUCACAGCGAGCCGCGCGAGCUGAAGCGCGCGCGCCGCCGACGGUGUCUCGAGGCGCGCUUUCAUCCGGGCGCACACGCGCGCGCGUCUCUCCCACCCCCGGCGAGCGAGGGUCGUUUGCCCCCGAGGACGGACGGGGGGCGAAAGCCUUUGAAACGCGAAUUUCGCACCCGAGCGCGCGACUCGCGAGGAGACG
rnacentral:lncRNA from 1 species